AUGGGCACAUGCACAUAUCUUCUAGACAAAGAGCAUCUUCCCCUGGGGCCAGAAUUUGAGGACAAUGAGAUUGUCAUCGAUCCAUCACAUCCAACAUAUGUAGAGGCUCAGGAGAAGAGAGAGAAAGCAGAGGCAGAGAAGGUAGCACAAUCUUCCAAAGUUCCAGAUGCCUCAACUGUACAUCUCAAGACCAAGCAAGAUCAUCUUAGCUAUCUACUUGAGGCCACGUUGAGGAUUGAGAAAGGACUAGCCACCCUGACUCAAAACCAAGAAGUCUUGAGAGGAUCAUCAAAACAAAAUUUAAUGAUCUAG
rnacentral:rRNA from 1 species